AACGAACGCUGGCGGCAGGCCUAACACAUGCAAGUCGAACGAGAAGCCACCUUCGGGUGGUGGACAGUGGCAGACGGGUGAGUAACGCGUGGGAACGUGCCUUUCGGUUCGGAAUAACCCAGGGAAACUUGGGCUAAUACCGGAUACGCCCUUCGGGGGAAAGAUUCAUUGCCGAAAGAUCGGCCCGCGUGGGAUUAGCUAGUUGGUGGGGUAAUGGCUCACCAAGGCGACGAUCCGUAGCUGGUCUGAGAGGAUGACCAGCCACACUGGGACUGAGACACGGGCGAGAGUCAUACGGGAGGGAGCAGUGAGGAAUAUUGGACAGUGGGCGAAAGCCUGAUCCAGCCAUGCCGCGUGGGUGAAGAAGGCCUUAGGGUUGUAAACCCCUUUCAGCGGGGAAGAUAGUGACGGUACCCACAGAAGAAGGCCCGGCUAACUCCGUGCCAGCCGCCGCCGUAA
rnacentral:rRNA from 1 species